AGUGAACGCUGGCGGUAGGCCUAACACAUGCAAGUCGAACGGCAGCACAGUAAGAGCUUGCUCUUACGGGUGGCGAGUGGCGGACGGGUGAGGAAUACAUCGGAAUCUACUUUUUCGUGGGGGAUAACGUAGGGAAACUUACGCUAAUACCGCAUACGACCUACGGGUGAAAGCAGGGGAUCUUCGGACCUUGCGCGAUUGAAUGAGCCGAUGUCGGAUUAGCUAGUUGGCGGGGUAAAGGCCCACCAAGGCGACGAUCCGUAGCUGGUCUGAGAGGAUGACCAGCCACCCUGGACCUGGGCCACGGUCCAGCCUCCUACGGGAGGCAGCAGUGGGGAAUAUUGGACAAUGGGCGCAAGCCUUAUCCAGCCAUACCGCGUGGGUGAAGAAGGCCUUCGGGUUGUAAAGCCCUUUUGUUGGGAAAGAAAAGCAGCAGGUUAAUACCCCGCUGUUCUGACGGUACCCAAAGAAUAAGCACCGGCUAACUUCGUG
rnacentral:rRNA from 1 species